UGAAAAUGGAUUAACAAGGGGUAUUCAAAUUUUUAGCAUUAUUCUCACAUAUUUGCUAAAAACUCAUUUGAUUUAACCUUAGAAAUAGAUAGUUUAAUUCAAAGAUUAAAAUAAAUACACCAAAACGUGUUUGCUAAUCGAUUAAAGUUUUUAUUAAUUUCAACUCAAUUAAUUACUUAGUUACUGUGGGACAUUCCAUUCACCAUUUUAUUACUUGAUUGCAAUACCAUAAACAUGCGGGAUUUUAAAGGGUCACUUCUCAUCGGCUUACUCCUCAAGUUUGAUUAUAUUUGUGGAGGAGAUGGGGUCUACUGGCAUGGGCUUCUUUAUCGACUCAUCAAUUAUCGUUUGGAGCUUUGGUGGAGGAAGAGGCUCAAUGUUCUUCAUUAUUGUAGCCACCUCUUAUGAUUCCCCUCUUUCCAAAGCCACAACUUUUUCCUUCAAUUUCUUCUCUACAGGAGGACGAUGAGGGUUCAAAUUCGAUUUGAGACAGUUUGUCCCAUUGAUGUUUAUAGGUGCAGGUGCUGGUACUCAAGGGCUUCUUCUUCUUCGCCUUGCCCAAAUGCCUCAUAAAGAAUAUCUGGCUUGACAUAUUCCUUACAGUCAUGUUACAUUGCAAGAAUAUGAAGCAUUAGCACUUGUUAAAAUUUGAGAUCCAAAAAACAUAUGAAUGGCGAAGUUGCUUAUCCUUGGUAGGCAUCAAUGAAUGUGUAACAAAGAGAGCUCGCGUCGAAACAACAGUUUUGAAGGACCUCUUUUCGAUAAAUAGCUCAUAGAUGGUUCAAACUAUGGCCCACUCUUUGGCUCAAGUUCGAAGUGGUUGACUGUAGCUACAUAAAGACCAAGUUAGAAAAAGCCUAUGUAUAAAAUAGUAAAUAAACAAAAGGCCAAAUAGCAAGGACUAACUAUACUCAAGAUAUUGGGUCGGUAAAAUUAUUUCUAGAACUGCAUCGCCCUCCACGAUCUGCUAACUAUCCUCACCUAGAACCAAGAUGGCUUCUAAUUCUUAAUAGAGGUUGGAAUACCUAAUAUAAAUGCUGAAUAGGAGUCCUAUUGGUUCAUGCAUUACCACCCAUCACUAACGGCAACACAUCCGUCUUUAGGAAAACAAGCUCACUCAUCCGGGGUUAAAACAAACUUCUCAAUCGUUUCAAGAACCUAUAACGCUCUCUAAAGGUUCUUAGUUCGCUCUCCUCGAUAUAGGUCGGCCAUAAAGGCCUACCCCAUCUAAUACUAUGGUCUAUAGGCCUUAAUGCAUCAUCUAUGAACUAUAGGGCCACCAUCGCCUCCAUAAUCCUCUCAGUAGGAAUUGUUGGAGGUAGAGCAACCUUAGUGCAUAUUGUGGUCAUAUCAACUUUCCUAGAAGACCCUUUUUGGUUUUUGGUUUCGAGGAAGAGACCAUUUUAUAAUUUUUCAAGAUAAAACCCAAGAAAAUAGCUCGUCACUUACACAUGUAUCAAAUAGAUCAACUAGAUGAAGGAAGUUUAAUUGCUCGCCAGAAAAUUUUUUAAUGUUGCCGGAGAAAUGCAAAGGACUUUUUGCUUGCUUGAAGGUUUUUUA
rnacentral:lncRNA from 1 species